rnacentral:rRNA from 1 species
GUGGGGAAUCUUGCGCAAUGGGCGAAAGCCUGACGCAGCCAUGCCGCGUGAAUGAUGAAGGUCUUAGGAUUGUAAAAUUCUUUCACCGGGGACGAUAAUGACGGUACCCGGAGAAGAAGCCCCGGCUAACUUCGUGCCAGCAGCCGCGGUAAUACGAAGGGGGCUAGCGUUGCUCGGAAUUACUGGGCGUAAAGGGCGCGUAGGCGGACAGUUUAGUCAGAGGUGAAAGCCCAGGGCUCAACCUUGGAAUUGCCUUUGAUACUGGCUGUCUUGAGUACGGGAGAGGUGAGUGGAACUCCGAGUGUAGAGGUGAAAUUCGUAGAUAUUCGGAAGAACACCAGUGGCGAAGGCGACUCACUGGCCCGUUACUGACGCUGAGGCGCGAAAGCGUGGGGGGCAAACAGGAUUAGAUACCCCUGUAGUCC